AAAAAAGGUAAGCUACUAAGAGCGAAUGGUGGAUGCCUUGACUGGUAAAGGCGAUGAAGGACGUACUAGACUGCGAUAAGCUACGGGGAGCUGUCAAGAAGCUUUGAUCCGUAGAUUUCCGAAUGGGGCAACCCAAUGUAUAGAGAUAUACAUUACCUAUAUAGGAGCGAACGAGGGGAAUUGAAACAUCUUAGUACCCUCAGGAAAAGAAAUCAAUAGAGAUUGCGUCAGUAGCGGCGAGCGAAAGCGCAAGAGGGCAAACCCAGUGCUUGCACUGGGGGUUGUAGGACUGCAAUGUGCAAGAGGUGAGUUUAGCAGAACAUUCUGGAAAGUAUAGCCAUAGAGGGUGAUAGUCCCGUAUGCGAAAAACAAACCUUAGCUAGCAGUAUCCUGAGUAGGGCGGGACACGAGAAAUCCUGUCUGAAGCUGGGUCGACCACGAUCCAACCCUAAAUACUAAUACCAGAUCGAUAGUGCACAAGUACCGUGAGGGAAAGGUGAAAAGAACUGAGGUGAUCAGAGUGAAAUAGAACCUGAAACCAUUUGCUUACAAUCAUUCAGAGCCCUAUGUAGCAAUACAGGGUGAUGGACUGCCUUUUGCAUAAUGAGCCUGCGAGUUGUGGUGUCUGGCAAGGUUAAGCAAACGCGAAGCCGUAGCGAAAGCGAGUCUGAAUAGGGCGCUUAGUCAGAUGCUGCAGACCCGAAACGAAGUGAUCUAUCCAUGAGCAAGUUGAAGCUAGUGUAAGAACUAGUGGAGGACUGAACCCAUAGGCGUUGAAAAGCCCCGGGAUGACUUGUGGAUAGGGGUGAAAGGCCAAUCAAACUUCGUGAUAGCUGGUUCUCUCCGAAAUAUAUUUAGGUAUAGCGUUGUGUCGUAAUAUAAGGGGGUAGAGCACUGAAUGGGCUAGGGCAUACACCAAUGUACCAAACCCUAUCAAACUCCGAAUACCUUAUAUGUAAUCACAGCAGUCAGGCGGCGAGUGAUAAAAUCCGUCGUCAAGAGGGAAACAACCCAGACUACCAGCUAAGGUCCCUAAAUCUUACUUAAGUGGAAAACGAUGUGAAGUUACUUAAACAACCAGGAGGUUGGCUUAGAAGCAGCCAUCCUUUAAAGAAAGCGUAAUAGCUCACUGGUCUAGUGAUUUUGCGCGGAAAAUAUAACGGGGCUAAAGUAAGUACCGAAGCUGUAGACUUGCGCACAACUUAGAUUAUUUAAGUUUAGAAUAUGAGAAACUAAGUUAUAUGUUUAGUUAUAUUUUUACUGAUUUUUAUAGAGUAAAGAUAGAAAUAAAACUUAGUAAAAUCAGUAAAAAUAUUCUUAGACUAAAGUUAAGUAGUUUAAGUUGUGUGCAAGUGGUAGGAGAGCGUUCUAUUUGCGUCGAAGGUAUACCGGUAAGGAGUGCUGGAGCGAAUAGAAGUGAGCAUGCAGGCAUGAGUAGCGAUAAUUAAUGUGAGAAUCAUUAACGCCGUAAACCCAAGGUUUCCUACGCGAUGCUCGUCAUCGUAGGGUUAGUCGGGUCCUAAGUCGAGUCCGAAAGGGGUAGACGAUGGCAAAUUGGUUAAUAUUCCAAUACCAACAUUAGUGUGCGAUGGAAGGACGCUUAGGGCUAAGGGGGCUAGCGGAUGGAAGUGCUAGUCUAAGGUCGUAGGAGGUUAUACAGGCAAAUCCGUAUAACAAUACUCCGAGAACUGAAAGGCUUUUUGAAGUCUUCGGAUGGAUAGAAGAACCCCUGAUGCCAUCGAGCCAAGAAAAGUUUCUAAGUUUAGCUAAUGUUGCCCGUACCGUAAACCGACACAGGUGGGUGGGAUGAGUAUUCUAAGGCGCGUGGAAGAACUCUCUUUAAGGAACUCUGCAAAAUAGCACCGUAUCUUCGGUAUAAGGUGUGGUUCGCUUCGUAUUAGGAUUUACUCCGAAAGCGAAGAAACUUACAACAAAGAGUCCCUCCCGACUGUUUACCAAAAACACAGCACUCUGCUAACUCGUAAGAGGAUGUAUAGGGUGUGACGCCUGCCCGGUGCUCGAAGGUUAAUUGAUGGGGUUAGCAUUAGCGAAGCUCUUGAUCGAAGCCCGAGUAAACGGCGGCCGUAACUAUAACGGUCCUAAGGUAGCGAAAUUCCUUGUCGGUUAAAUACCGACCUGCAUGAAUGGCGUAACGAGAUGGGAGCUGUCUCAAAGAGGGAUCCAGUGAAAUUGUAGUGGAGGUGAAAAUUCCUCCUACCCGCGGCAAGACGGAAAGACCCCGUGGACCUUUACUACAGCUUGACACUGCUAUUUGGAUAAGAAUGUGCAGGAUAGGUGG
rnacentral:rRNA from 1 species